rnacentral:rRNA from 1 species
GAUGAACGCUGGCGGCGUGCCUAAUACAUGCAAGUCGAGCGAACAGACGAGGAGCUUGCUCCUCUGACGUUAGCGGCGGACGGGUGAGUAACACGUGGAUAACCUACCUAUAAGACUGGGAUAACUUCGGGAAACCGGAGCUAAUACCGGAUAACAUGUUGAACCGCAUGGUUCAACAGUGAAAGACGGUCUUGCUGUCACUUAUAGAUGGAUCCGCGCCGCAUUAGCUAGUUGGUACGGUAACGGCUUACCAAGGCAACGAUGCGUAGCCGACCGGAGAGAGUGAUCGGCCACACUAGAACUGAGACACGGUCCAGACUCCUACGGGAGGCAGCAGUAGGGAAUCGUCCGCAAUGGUCGAAAGCCUGACGGAGCAACGCCGCGUGAGUGAAGAAGGUCUUCGGAUCGUAAAACUCUGUUAUUAGGGAAGAACAAAUGUGUAAGUAACUAUGCACGGCUUGACGGUACCUAGUCAGAAAGCCACGGCUAACUACGUG